rnacentral:rRNA from 1 species
GACGAACGCUGGCGGCGUGCCUAAUACAUGCAAGUCGAGCGAAGUUUUUCUGGUGCUUGCACUAGAAAAACUUAGCGGCGAACGGGUGAGUAACACGUAAAGAACCUGCCUCAUAGACUGGGACAACUAUUGGAAACGAUAGCUAAUACCGGAUAACAGUAUUUCUCGCAUGAGAGAUAUUUAAAAGUUGGUUAUGCUAACACUAUGAGAUGGCUUUGCGGUGCAUUAGCUAGUUGGUGGGGUAAAGGCCCACCAAGGCCACGAUGCAUAGCCGACCUGAGAGGGUGAUCGGCCACACUGGGACUGAGACACGGCCCAGACUCCUACGGGAGGCAGCAGUAGGGAAUCUUCCGCAAUGGGCGAAAGCCUGACGGAGCAACGCCGCGUGAGUGAAGAAGGAUUUCGGUUCGUAAAGCUCUGUUGUUAGGGAAGAAUGGAUAUGUAGUAACUAUACAUGUAAGAGACGGUACCUAACCAGAAAGCCACGGCUAACUACGUG